rnacentral:lncRNA from 1 species
GGAGUUUUAGUCGUAUAGACUCAAAUAACUAGUAAGUUCGGAUAACUCCGACUUAUCCAAAUAACAUAAAACUUCUGAGUACGCAGCGGAAUAAGGUUCUGAUUACAUGUAUGAAGACAUGUAACCCUAGAGUUCAUUAAUACAUAAUAAGACAAAAGAAUCCCGCUCGUCACUUCAUCACCAUCGGCAGCUGCUCAACCUGCACAUUUAGAAAUAUAUGCAGGGCUUGAGUACAAAAGUACUCAGUGGGCACGUAUGCCUAAGUAUAAAAAUACAUGCUUCAAAACUGUAAAUUGUCAUGCCAUCAUAAACAGUACAGCAAGGGAGUUUUUCGCUAAAAGGCCCAAGCUUACUAAAUUCAUUUGUGAUUCUUAAAGUUCGACUGCAGUCUAAGUUCUCUUGUAAUCUAUCAUAUCUGGAACUGUGUGCCGGAGAGGUGGCCACCUCUCACGGUCACUUGACCGGCCAACCCGCUAGAUGACUCACGGUCACUGGUGUACACUAGCCCUGGCAGGAUAGCUAUCAACUGCUCAGGACCCGAAUUCGAUUGCAUGAUAACUGGCAAAGCCACAUCAGAUAGAUAUCUUACCAAACAUUGAAACAUUUAUGGCAAGACAACAGUUGAAAUAAUUUUCAGUUCAAUGAUUUUGCAAUGAAAUAACUGUUCAAACAUAACAUUAAACUCAUUUGAUAUAUAUGAAAAUAAACCCACCUGGUUAGGCAAAGCCUGAAGAUCAUAAUCACAUAUAAAACUGUCUUGGGAAAGCAACGCUAAUUCCCCUGGUCACAAAGCCUACAAGAAAUUCUAUUCUUAAUAGGUCUCGUGAAGCUAAUCUUAAGUCAUGGUGUAGUGCUUAACAUUCUAUGAUUCACUUAGCCGGGUUUUCAAAAUUUAAUGAAUAAAUAAUUGAAAACAUUUCUCUUGAGUCAAGAACACCAACAAUAUUCUUACUCAUCUUUCUUUAAUAAUUGGAAUUAUAAUUAAAACCAAUUAAAUACUUUUAUUGCAAGUAAAAAUGCAAUUUCAUGUCAUGCCUAGCAUAUAAUAAGUAAUUUACUUAAAAUAUGCACAUAAUAAUAAUUUAAUAUUAUUAUGAAAACAAAUCAUUGAAUAAAUUAAUUAAACUAAUUAAUAGUCCAAUUAAUUAAUAUAAGUGUAGUUCAUUUAAUUAAUAGAAGGCAGCCCAAUUUUUUUUUUAAUAAAUAAAGGCCCAACUAUUAAUUAAAACUGAGUCCAUGUUGAAUAAAUAAAAUUAGCCCAGAUUUAAAUUAAAAAAAAUCGGCCCAUAACUUAUUUAAAUAAACUGAGCCCAAGACUCAAGCCCAACACUUUAGUCCUAAAGGAAAAGACUCGGCCCAGAUGAUUUAAUUCGGCCCAAAAUAGGAGCCCAAAACCCCAAGCCCAACUCUCAACCUUUUCUCCCCCUAUUCUCUCUCUCGUCGCAGACUCACACGCACACACACGCACCCAGCGCCGCCCAACCUCUCUUCCUCUCAAGGCUCACGACACUCACAACGCAGCAGCGCGGCAUCGCCCUCAACUCCGGCGACAUCACCGUCUAGCCGCCCUCUCGUCCCUCAACGCCUUCCUCUCUCUCUCACAAAGCUCCGCCGCUGCGGAAGCUCGCCGGGGAGCAGCGGCGAUAAGCCGCCGUCACCCACUGCUCUCCCCUCUCCGUCCGUUUCCGGCGACAGCAACGACAAAAGCCGCCGCCGACCGGUGACUCCGACUCCCAUCUCUCUCCCUUGACUGCUCCUGUCACUUCCCCCUGUUCUCUCUCUCCCUCGACUGCUCCCUCAUCACUCAAAGUUCAGAUCGGCAUCGACCCUUCCCCUCUUCUUCAGCCGCCGCCCGUUAUCGCCGCCGGACUCACGGCGAGGAACCUCGCACCGCCUCGCACAGGUAAACCCCCAAAUCUCCCUUCUCUUCCUCUCAAAAUACAGAAUCUGAAAAUCUAAUUCCUCCUCCUCUCUCUUUCUUUCGUUGGCAGGAAGAGGAAAAAAAGGCGGCGCCUUUGCCGCCGUGCCGUCGCCGGCGUCAAACAGCUAUCGGCUGAACCUCACCUCCCUCUCGACUCAACAGUACAACAGGGCUCAAGACUCCAUUUUUCUUCUUUUAUAAAUCAUGCUCUGAUGUAUGAAUAUAUAUAUAUAUAUACAGAUUGUAUGCUCAUGUAUGUGACUGUCAUUUUGUUUCAAAAACUGAUACAAGAAAACUGAAUUUCCAUUUAGCAAAUAAGGUAAGGGCUCAAGAGGGAACCUUAAGAGGUUUCGUUUCAGUUGUUUGUCUUGUUGGUAUUGGUUUUGAUUCACUGCAUUAAAACUGGGCUUCAGUGGAACAACUGCAGUAAAAUUUCAGUAGGGGAUCCUUCAAUUAUUUGCAAGAUGGAGUAUGAGAGAAUGAUGAAACCAAAGUUCAAAACUUACCUAGGCAGUCGAGUUCUGUUUGAGAGGGAGUGAGCUUGAGAUUUUCUUGUUGAGAGAUGAAAUAUGUGGAAAUGAUUGUGUAGAAGCGGAAGGGAAUGAGUGAAGUAUAUCAGUGGGUGUGGGAGUAGGUAUGGUUUUUGCAGGGAGUUGGUGGUGGGAGUAGGUGGGUUGGUGGUGGGAGUAGGUGGGAGUAAUAAAAUAAAAA